rnacentral:rRNA from 1 species
AGUUUGUAACACCCGAAGCCGGUGGAGUAACCUUUUAGGAGCUAGCCGUCGAAGGUGGGACAAAUGAUUGGGGUGAAGUCGUAACAAGGUAGCCGUAUCGGAAGGUGCGGCUGGAUCACCUCCUUUCUAAGGA